GAUGAACGCUGGCGGCGUGCCUAAUACAUGCAAGUCGAGCGAACGGACGAGAAGCUUGCUUUUCUGAUGUUAGCGGCGGACGGGUGAGUAACACGUGGAUAACCUACCUAUAAGACUGGUAUAACUUCGGGAAACCGGCGCUAAUACCGGAUAAUAUUUUGAACCGCAUGGUUCAAAAGUGAAAGACGGUCUUGCUGGCACUUAUAGAUGGAUCCGCGCUGCUUUAGCUAGUUGGUAAGGUAACGGCUUACCAAGGCAACGAUGCAUAGCCGAACUGAGGGGGUGAUCGGCCACACUGGAACUGAGACACGGUCCAGACUCCUACGGGAGGCAGCAGUAGGGAAUCUUCCGCAAUGGGGGAAAGCCUGACGGAGCGACGCCGCGUGAGUGAUGAAGGUCUUCGGAUCGUAAAACUCUGUUAUUAGGGAAGAACAUAUGUGUAAGUAACUGUGCACAUCUUGACGGUACCUAAUCAGAAAGCCACGGCUAACUACGUG
rnacentral:rRNA from 1 species